rnacentral:tRNA from 1 species
GCAAGAGUAGCCGACUUAGGCAAAAGACUGUAAAUCUUUCAAUGGCUUAAAAGCCCAUUGCA